rnacentral:lncRNA from 1 species
GGCUGCGGGUCCUCCGCCGCUCGCUCCAGGAAGCGCCGGAAGGGCCGCGCUUCUCCACCCUUCUCCCCGGACCCCCCAGGGUCGUCGGGAUCCCCGCGCAGCUUCCCGCGCGCGGCCCGCCCUGCGCUGCGCAGACGCCGGGGCCCACGGCUCCGCCCCCUCCCGCCUCCCCUUGACAGGCAGCUGUGUCAGCCAACUGGACGGAGGACCUGGAGGCUGGCCCCGCCCAGGUGUGGCGCAGGGGGCACGGCGGCUUCCGGGAGAGGCGCUUUCCCAGAAGGCCACAGAAAAUCCGCGGUCGGGUUUUCAUUGGUUUAACUAGGCAGAGAACCCGGUCCGGUUCGUCAGGUGGGCUUCUUGAUUGGAUGAAAUAUCCCAGGUCCCGCCCCCGGAGCAAGAGCCGGGAGAGGUGUGUCCCGCGGAGCGGAGGCCGCCUGACUGGAGAGGACGGGGAGGGCUGGUGCGGCGACCUCAGGUUCUUGCCCUAUGACCUCCAUUCGCCUGCCGUCGGGGAAAUUCUACUUAAUAGACGACUUGAUGCUAUCUCGGAAAGCCAGCACCAGAGGCAGGCAGGGACCCGCGGAGGCGUCCGCACAGGCACGGCAGGGGCCUGAGAUGGCUGGACUUGUGCUAACGCUGAACUUAAGGUGGAAUGGCCUUAAUUUUCUCGGCCUCCACAGGACCAAACAGUGCUUGUUUGCCAUGAGAGGCUGCAUCAUUUGGAGCCAGGCAAUCUCCAGAACUGCCAAUGCCUUGUCAUCAAAAACAAACGUGUGUGUUUCCCCCCCAUCUUAGCAGAAUCAAAUAUGCUACUGCUGGAGCAGAGUGAGCUGGGGCUGCAUUUCUGGGCCACUUGAGGCCCCGAGUUUUGGGGAGAUUCUGGGAAGGCAAGAAGAACUGAGGCCCAUAAGCUUUGGACCUGAGAAGAGUCCUGGAACAGAGAGUGAAUGAAGAAGAGGUGGAAAGCUAUGCCAUCAGAGAAAGAGGGAAGGAGGGUGAACUAGGUUACACACACACACCUUUCACCCUGACACACACACUCAGAAGCUGUGGAGAGUGGCUGCCUUGAUUCUUAGUAGUUUCUCAUCCUUCUUGUGACAGCUUGUAUUUUCUAAAAAUGUCUACAAAAAUAUUUCAGUCCCACAUGCUUGUCCAGAACCUUGCCUUGCCACACUCCUCUCUGCCCAUUAGGAGAUGGCCUUAGAUCCCCUCAAUUGAUGGAGGAGGGCCUAUAAAAAAAAGCCUCUGCCAGGCUUUCUUGGCACCUGUGUGCUGUGAGUAUCCCAGCUCAUGGAGGGGAACCCUGGCAGUCAGCGGUCCUUUGAGUAGAUGGCCUUGGAAAUGAACCCUCUAGUCCUGGGUUGGUCCGCCCUGGACUGGUAUGGCAUAGAGCAGAAAUGAGGCUUCCCAGCCAAGCCCAGGUUGCAGAUUUGUGAGCAUAAUAAAUGAUUGUUGCUCUGUUAAAUCCCUAGGGUU